GGGAUCGGUGGGCGCGCGGCGGGGGGAAUGCGAAGGGGGCAAGGGUGGUUCGGAUUGACUGGGGUGACAGGGAGGGUAGGCGGGUGGGGAAGCCCUGCGUGAAAGCUCCGGGCCUAACCCGGAAAGUGCGGAGGGGACUGCUCGGCUAGAGGAUGGGAGAGGAGCGCGGAAUUCCCGGUGUAGCGGUGAAAUGCGUAGAGAUCGGGAGGAAGGCCGGUGGCGAAGGCGGCGCUCUGGAACAUUUCUGACGCUGAGGCUCGAAAGCGUGGGGAGCAAACAGGAUUAGAUACCCCAGUAGUC
rnacentral:rRNA from 1 species